GCUAGUGUGGUGUAGUGGUUUGAAUGUUGGAUUCUGACUCUGGAGACCAGGGUUCGAUUCCCAGCUUGGUCU